rnacentral:rRNA from 1 species
AUACGGAAGGUCCGGGCGUUAUCCGGAUUUAUUGGGUUUAAAGGGAGCGCAGGCGGAGAUGCAAGCGUGACGUCAAAUUUCGGGGCUCAACCCCGUCUCGCGUCGCGAACUGCGUCCCUUGGUUGCGGGAAGGGGAGGCGGAACUCGUGGUGGAGCGGUGAAAUGCAUAGAUAUCACGAAGAACUCCGAUCGCGAAGGCAGCCUUCCGGCCCGUCAACGACGCUCAUGCUCGAAGGUGCGGGUAUCAAACAGGAUUAGAUACCCUGGUAGUCCGCACAGUAAACGAUGGACACCCGCGGUUUGGCCUAUAUGGCUGAGCCGCCAAGCGAAAGCGUUAAGUGUCCCACCUGGGGAGUACGCCGGCAACGGUGAAACUCAAAUGAAUUGACGGGG